rnacentral:rRNA from 1 species
CCCAAAAGAUCGAAUGGGGAGAUUCAUCGUCAGCGUGAUUGGCGCUUGUGCGGUUCGCGAUGCCGGGGACUUCGGUCUCCUGGCACGCGUCCGCAUGGUUUUUCUGCCUUUCUACGUCGGCGUGCACUUCUCCUCUAGUAGGACGUCGCGACCCGUUGGGUGUCGGUCUACGGCCCGGGUGGAAGCCUGUCACGCGUCACGGUUAAUCCCGUCGUGUUUCAGACCCCCGGUUGCCUGACCAGCUGCCCGGCGGUACUCGCACGGUAUCGAGCCGCAAUUUUUUUAUUGCGUCCGGCCCGUCGCAAGCUUGGCAAGUGUAUACCCGGAUGUACGGACCUAGCGCCGUCACCGGGCCUGGCCAGCUGUUGGUUGAUGGUGUUCUGGGACUGGCUCUUUUUUCUUUAUGGAAAAUAUACCGGUCGGCGACGCUACAGCUUUGGGUACUUUCAGGACCCGUCUUGAAACACGGACCAAGGAGUCUAACAUGUGCGCGAGUCAUUGGGACAAUAAAGCCUAAAGGCGUAAUGAAAGUGAAGGUCAGCCUUGCGCUGACCGAGGGAGGAUGGGCCGCGUCACGAUGCGGUCCCGCACUCCCGGGGCGUCUCGUUCUCAUUGCGAGAUGAGGCGCACCCAGAGCGUACACGUUGGGACCCGAAAGAUGGU